CCCUGCUCAUGCUCUCUCAUUCUCUCUGGCAGGUAAAUAAAUAAAAUCUUAAAACAAAAAACAAAAAACAAAAUAAAAACACCACAAUGUGUAUAUUUUAUAUGUCCUAGGGCAGCCUACCUGGCAUUAAUGAGACAUUUCUUAGUGGUCACUUUUAAGACAUUUUUCACAUGUGUGGUUUGUGCUCCUAAACCAGUCCCUAAGUUCUUUGAGGUAGGGACUAUUUGAGGGUGUAUUUCUCUAGGGUGUCCUAAAGCUCAAACUUUAAUAUGCAUGGGCCUCAAUAGAGGAUCUUGCUAAAAUGAAAAUGCUGAUUCAGCAGGAAUGGGAUUGGGGCUGAGAUUCUGCAUUUCUUUUUUUUUCAAUAUUUUAUUUAUUUAUUUGACAUAGAGAGAGAGAGACAGAGACAGAGUGAGCACAAGCAGGGGGAGUGGCAGACAGAGGCAGAGGGAGAAGCAGGCUCCCCACAGAGAUGGGGGAGCCCAAUGUGGGACUUGAUCCCAGGACUCUGGGACCGUGACCUGAGCCGAAGGCAGUCGCCCAAACAACUGACCCACCGAGCCGCCCGAGAUUUUGCAUUUCUAAGCAGCUCCCAGGUAUUGCUGCUGGUUGGAGGACCACCAUUUGAGUAGCAAGACCCUAAAACACCCAGGAUGGUGCCUCAACAUAAACAAGUAAAACUUUAUAUUGGUAGUAGUUCCAACCAAAUUUCUCCUGUGAGAACCUGACCCCUUCAAGUAAAUCCUAUCUCACGAUCAAAGGUAAGUCCUCUCCCCUUGGGUCAUGACACUGCCCUCUAAACUAAUUGAAGCCUGAGGACAUGAUUCUGUUAUAAUGCAAUUGUUUGAAUUUGUGUUUAAAUUGGAGCAGUCUGAGUGGUUUUACUAAUGUCAUUUGAGAGGACUGGUGAAUUAUUUGGGUGUGCAUGGCCCAGCCCUGAUACGCUAGGCCACUCUUGGUAAGAGCCACAGUUAAUACUAGCUGAUCCCAUAAACGGGAGCCCACACUAGCCUGCAUAGAGUGUGGAGAGUCAUAACUCGCCUUCUGGAUAAGGGGCCCUCACUUUUCUCCCAGAUGGGUUAAGUAGGUGGAGGCAGAAACCAAGCUUACUUUUGUUGACCUGUGUCGAGUUAAGUCUCUGUUCCCUGUAAGAAGUCCUGCUCAGAGGCCAAAAGCCCCACCUUAGUUUCACCUUCAAAACUAGGAAAAUCAGUCUUUGACUAUACUAAGCAGACUUAAAUAAAUGCUUUUGAACCAGGAGGUUCAGACCAGAAGGAUUGGUGGGCAUGAAUGAAGCUACAGAAAUGUCUGACUGGUCUCAUGGCCUGGCACCGAUAGAAGGCCAGUCCAGCCUCUCAGGACCUCGGUUUGCUUAUCAGCAAAAUCAAGGUGUUGGACUGGAGGCUUCUUAUCAGCGCUAAGAGUCUGUGGUUCUGAUCACCAUAUCAGGGAAAGGCACGGGAGACAAGAAUUCCACACUUGGCUCCGUAACAGCACAGUGUGACCGGGAGCCUCUUGGUGGGUUCUUCUCUUGCUGGUCUCAGCCCCAGUGCUUGUCCUAACCAGGCGCUAAGUGACCCUUUCCUAGACUAUUGGGUGCCACACAUCCGCCAGCCUGGUGUAGAAAGACUUGAAAAGAUGUACCCUGUGCUGCCACCUAAUGGCUCCAAUUCUCUCAAAGCGAUUCUUCAGCACCAUUUGGAUGUUACAGAAUCUCUAGGCCCUCUAUAAAACACAGUCCACCAGCGAUGAGAACCUAAGGUGAGAGAACAAACAUAGGGUACCUCCAAGGGCCACCUCAUCACGGGAGUCAGGGACUAUGACUGUAAGAACCAUAACUUUUUUUUUUUUAACUUGGUGAUUUCCUCCUUGUUAUUUCCUGUCUGUUUCCCCGUAAUGAUUAACAGUAAAACUCUAAAAACAAAAAGGGCCAAGGUGUUUGUUUUCAAGGGCAGCAAGGAAGCAAGGAACUGGGGGAGACAGCACUCCAGGGGUUGGGGUAAACAACUCCAGGGGAUGGAGUGGGUGGAAGGAGCUGAAUAGCUGGAAGGAAAGCAGGUUGAGUCCUCAGGCUCAUUUGAAAAAGGAAAGAGGGGGUGGAAUAAAGUUGUGUUCUAGUGGGAAUGAAGGUAACGGUCUUAAUAGCAUUGUCAUUCUUUCCUGUUUUGUCUUCAGAUGAACCAGUCUAUUUUCAAUCCAAGAAGAUGAAGCAAAUGGAUAGCUGUAGACUAGUGUUCUAGUUCAAGGGCCUUUGUAGGAAAUGAUACUCCUAGAGUGAAGAUCCCAAAUACAGAAGUCUACAGAAGGGCCAGGCAGAUAAGGUGAAAGCCUUGAAUACAUUCAUUCAAUAAAUCAAGAAGCAUUGAUUGAGCACCUAAUAUAUGCGAAGUAAUGUUCAAGAAAAACACAUCACCUUGGGAUCCGAUUUUGCAAGUUCUGCUUAUCACAGGAACUAGAAGAUUCUGAUGAAUGAGGAUGGGACUUCAGUUCUUUUCCAUGGUGUGAAUAAAAAGUCGACUCUG